GGCAAGAGAACAGUGAGUAGGUUAUUUAUUCCUCUUACUACCACUCUGAUGGCUGCAGAUUUGGCAGUGGCUGCAUUCCUCAGCCUAUGACCAUAGCUCCUUUUGUGUGGCCUCUCCCAUGGUUAUGGUCUUCAGACCUCUAGUGACACUGUUCUAUUCCCUGUCCCUUGUGCCUAGGGGUGGUGAAGGCUUCUCACUGUUGCUAGUUCCUGAGGGCUUAACUAUUUAUUAUUGCUUUCAUUAAUCCUGCCAGCCCCUGUGUAAAUAGUCCCUCCAUUAUUAAACUCCUCAGUUAAGCUUUGGAGGUACCAUCUGCUUCUGCUGGACUCUGGAUGGUCACAUAUGUACAGGGAUUUUCACUGCAGCAUUGUUUGAAAUAGCAAUAGACUAAAAAACAAAUUAAAUAUUCAUCAGUCGGGACUGGUUAAACAAAUAUCAUGCAGAUAUAGUAGGUAUAUUACGAAGCAGUUUAAAAAAUAAUGUCUCACUGUAUUCUACACUUAAAUUUAUAAGAGAAUAGAGCUUAUUUUAAGUGUUCUUAAAAAUAAAAUAAUAAUAUUAAUAAUGAUAAAGUAUAAUAAUACUGGCUAUUAGCUAAAAUAGAGAUUUCUUGAUGAUAGGAUGUUAUAAACUAUGUUUAAAAAUAAAGAUUUAUGUUUAAAGUUAAUAAUAAGUGGUAGCGGUGGGUCUAUUAAUAUUAAAUUGUUAUUCUUACAUAAGAUAGUUAACAUCCUACUAUUGUCUUUUAAUUUUUUUUAUAGUUGUAGAUGGACAAAAUGCCUUUAUUUUAUUUGUUUAUUUUUAUGUGGUGCUGAGGAUAGAACCCAGUGCCUCACAUGUGAGAGACAAGUGCUCUACCACUGAGCAAUAGCCCCAGCCCCAACAUCCUACUAUUCUUGACUGAUUGGGUAAUACACACGCAGUUUUGUAUAGAAAUAAAAGUAUUUGUAACUUAAAAAAAUGUUAUAAUAAUUUUAUGCACAUCAUUAAAGCUAUGGUCAAAAAAUCAUAAUGUAUAUGCAUUAUAUAUUAUAUAUAUAUAUACAUUAAAACUUUGAAAGAAUAAAAGGCAUAGAUAUAUAUUAGAUUUCAAUCCAUUUUGAUAUAUUUGCAUGUAUCCUUGUGUAUGUGUAUAUAUAUAUAUAUGAAUUUAGUAACAUAUAUAUGAAUUAGUAACAGUGGCUCCCUCUGGAAAAGAAUAAUGGAGAACUAGGGUAGAACAGAGAGAUACUUUCAUUGAAUACACUUUUAAACUAUAGGAAUUUGUACUGUAUAUAUUAACUUUAAUUUUUAGUUAGGGAAAAAUAUAAUUUCUUAGGACAUAUAUAGAGAGGUGCAGCAAUGAGAUAAUAGCAUUCCUUUGAGAUUCCAUUACUAUAACUGGGAUUCUAAUCUCUUCUCACCACUCUCUGUGCCCCACUGUGCCAACUUCUCCCAUAGGACACUUCACCCUUCAGGGUUCCCAUGGUCCUUAUGGUGGCACUCCUGAUGCAUGGACAGCAGCUCCAAACCAGAAGUGGUUCAGGCUCUGCCUGAGGAGCAGGAGAGGAAGGUUCUCACAAGAGGAAUGUGGGGAGCAAAGCAAAUAUUUGAUGGGUUAAAAUGGAGGUGAAGCCUCAUUUGAGUCACUCCAGUGGAAAGGCUGUUUUUGUUGUUGUUGUUGGCUGCUUAUGAUUAGCCAAACCUAGGAUUCAUUUUCCCAGAAUAUGACCUUUGUUUUCACUGAGUUUGACUUUAAUUUACUUAAGUAGAAAUUCCGAGUGCUGGAGCCACCUCAGUCCAACGACUUCCCAAUGAAUUCUUUUAACACUUUCAAGGUCUCACUUUUUAGUAAAUUAAACCACUUUUCAGGUUUAUACAAGAUCUUAUUUUCUCAGAUCCUGACUCUUGGAAUAUGGUAAAUUCUCCCAGGGUUGGCUGAAAGGACCUUCUAGGUGAAUUUAAAAACUUUGAUCUUGCUCUGUGGUGAAUUCAAAAGCAUUAGGGUCUUUGGGUGAGGCUCUUAGCUUUAUAUUUUGUUCCUUCUUUCAUUUAUUGACUUAGAUGGGCGACUGGAAGAACUUGCUGAGAGAGGAGAGAUGAGGUGGUGGUCAUGAAAGAUAAAUAGGUGUGCCCUAGGCAGAUAAAUGAACCAAACGACAUUAAAAUCUGCAGAAGCAAUGCAGCUUGAAGCAAGACACAGAAGGAAACUUAAGACGCUUGAGAGGAGAUUAAAAUGGGGAGUCAAUCUGUUGGUGAUUGGUGUCAUCAUCAUUCUUGAGAAAAUCAAAAGGGAAAGGAAGAGGAAUGGGUUAAGAGGGGUUGUUAUAGUCAUUAUUUGGGAAAGGAAAAAAAAAGAGGAAAAGCUAAAUGUCUGAUUUUUGCUUUAGACUGUAUGAAAAUGUUCCUAUAUUAAGAGGCUACAUAAAAUGUUUUUGUACCUGUGGGAGAAAAGACACAUAGGCAUGCAAUAAUAAGGCACAUUAAAGAAACUGCUGCUAGUUUGUUGUGCUGGAAUGUGCCUGGAAUGAUAAGAGGUGGGAGCAGAGGUCCUAUGACAGAGUUCUUUCCUAUCAUGCUGGUACAGCACAUCUGGGGUUGAGCAGUUGUAAUCAGUUAUGCGUGUUAGAAUGAUCACCCUAGAAAGAGUACUGGGGUGAAGUCAAUUAUAAGACCAUUGUACUCACUCUGAGCAAAGCUGGAGAAAGAAGAGGCACCCAGGAAAUGUUGAUGCGGUAAGGAAAAAAAAUGGAAGUUAAUUACAAGUUGAAGGAUGGGGAUGAGGGAACAGGAAGAAUCAAAGAAAUCUCCAUUUCUGGAGACCAAACAGAUUGUGGUGCAAUACACUGGAAUAAAAAUUAUAAAAGAAAAAAGCUUGAAAAACCAUAUUGAGUCUGAGGUUACUUGUGAUGUGGACUUGACUUCAUGCUUUUACUUAUACCCAGUUCCUACACUCUUCCUCUACUCUACCCACCAAUCCUUGGCUCUCCUGUAUCCUUCCCACCCCAAUUUUGCCUAGUGAAUGACUAAUAUCUUUCUUAGCUCAAGCAACACCCCAUUCAGAAUGUUCCUCAUGCUGGGCAUGGUGGUGCAAACCUAUAAUCCCAGCAACUUGGGAGGAGGAGAUGGGAGGAUUUUCAAGUUCCAGGCCAACCUCAGCAACUUAGAGAUGCCCUAAGCAACUUAGCAAGACUCUGUCUCAAAAUAAAAUAUAAAAAGGGCUGAGAAUGUGGCUCAGUGGUAAAGCACCUCCGGGUUCAAUCCCCAGUAACAACAACAACAACAAAAAAUAGAAUGUUCCUUGUGACAUUUCAUUUCCUUCCCAUGAAGGCUGAGUCAGGUGGCUUUUAUACCCAUGAUCUUAUAAUGUCUUGUGCAUAUUUCUACCAUUAUACCAUAGUGCACAUUGAAUUAUAAUUCAUUCAGAGGUCCAUCUCACCUUACCUCACCUAACAUGAUUUUAAGCUUCUCAUGGGUAGGUCUUCAUCUCCUUUAUUUCUAAUAUUCCCAACAUAUAGUACAGAAUUUAUUAGAACAUAGUAAGCCUCAGUGAUCAUUGAAUGAAUGAAUAUCUUGAGUGGGAGAAGAAAUAUCUUUCUCUUAGAUGAUAGUUUUGAAGGUGGUGGUUAUUAGAGGCUCAGUGAGAAUCUGAAGGCGUGUAUAGUCUAAGUUUUAUCUUAGGUCAAAGCCAUUUCUCAUGAGAAAUGAAGCCAAGGAAAGAAGUUUUGAAGAGCUGCUGUGAGGAGUAGAGAUGGGAGAUAAAAAGAAUUAGUUGUGACUAUUCAGGCAUCUUAAAGGUCCAGCUGACAUUGGCAAUAGAGUGGCAGGGACCCCCGAUGACUGUGUGUUUCCCUCUAGCAGCGGUUCAGUGGGCUGAACCUGACAUACCCAAGGUUCAAGGUCCACAAGGCAGAUUCAGCAUAGGACAGAGAUACUGUGGUGUCUAGACUGGAAUGGGAAGGAAAAUGGAACCAUGAGGAAUAAAUGGUCUGAAAACAACAGAAAUGAUGGAGUCAGGGACCACCACUCUUCAUCAAGCUCAAGAAGAGAAGUUAUGGGAUAAGGUAGGAGAGCACCUGGCUGGUGGAGGCUCUUUUGAGAGACUAGGAUAUUAGGUUUGAAAUUACAGAGUAGGACCUCUUCUUCUGGAUGAUUAUAGAUCCAGAGUACAACCUUGGAAGCAGGUUGCUAGAAGGACCUGGAAGUUAAGGUUGUGGGAAUUUAAAAGUUCUCUAGAACUCUGAAUCUACAUUGUUAGAACCGUGUACCAGGAUUCUAAAGUUGCCCACAUUAGAAGAAGAGUAGGAACAGGGUUCCAUCAAAUUCAAAGAAUAAUGGCUGGUGUCCAGGGGAUGAAUACUUGGAGUGAGGACAACAUGGCCCUUAAGAAACAUCCUUAAGAAACUUUAAACUUAAGGAGAGCUAAGACAAACAGAUAUAAACCAGGAACUAACAACCAAAACCUGUGUUAAAGCUAUACUACUUCCUGUCAACAUCAAGGAUCUGCCAUUACAUUGCUUUGGAAUUGUUAAUAUUACCAAUGUGAUAGAAAGUUCCUUUCAGUACUGGGAUGUUGAAGAAGAUUGGCCUCUUCUUGAUACAGACGUUUCCCAGAUCUCUGCAUUAGAACACCUGUUAGUCAGAUCAGCAGGCUCCCCAGCCUCUACUUGCUGCAAAAUUGCUGGUACUUUUAUCUGUCCAUGACACCACCUGUCUCAAAAAGUAGGUCAUGUCAGGCUCUUAGUUCAGAGACAAUGAGAGGCCCUUGAACAGGCUGUAACUGAAAGAACAUGUGAUAAAAUCUUGUACAGAGACUUUAAAGAGUAGAAAGGCCCAACAAGAUUACAGGUAUAAUCUUUCUUUUUAUCUUUAACCCAUCCUCUUCUUCCUUUGAUAUACUGCUCUGGUAAAAUCCCUGAAUUCAACUCAUUUCUAUUUUCUUACCAUAGAGUAUUAUAAUAUCUUACAUUUACCUUGCAUAGUACAUUUUUGUUUACAAAAUUAUUCCAGGUGUUUGAACUUUUUAAUUUUUAAAUCUUCAAAGCAAACUCCAUAGAAGUGAGCUUUUUUUUUUUUUUUUACUUAAUUUACACAGGUCUCACUUCAGGUUCAGGUCCCAUUUCACUCCACCUCUAGAGUGGAAUAAGCAGUUAUAUUACCCAUCCUGGGGGACAGGAGCUCCCCUCCUUGUAGAACAGCUGCACCUAAAUGUCACUACCUUUUCUUUCUUAGACCCUACCAUUCCCCACCAGCCAACUCUUACUGUCAAUUCUCUCCAUGGAAUUCAAUUCAAUUCAGUAGGCAAUUCAUGAAUGCCAACCAUGGCCAAGCACCAUGCUAGAAAUGGAGAUUAUCAAAUAGACACCCUCAAGAACUGGCCAGACUAGCUGGGAAGACAGGGAAGUAAAUUAUCUUAAAAUGACAACUAUUAUAAUAGAGGGAUGCACAUGGUACCUCAGUAACUCCAAGAAAGGGAUAAUUAACUCAGCCUGAUAGGCUUAUGUAGCAGUUGGGACCUGGAGUUGAAAGAUGAGUAAACAAGGUGGCCAGGGCAGUUGACACACAAGGAACAGUGUGCAAAGGUAAAGGAGUAGGAAAGGGUAAGAACUUCACUUGACUCAUCUCUUAUCUGUAUCUGCGCUGACACCCAAUGUGAGAGAGGAAAAAAAAAGACACAUUACAGUUACUUCAAGAUCUUAAGUGAGGUCACUGGGCCACAUUCGCUUAUGCCCAUAGAUUACUACUUCACACCUUCUUUCUCUGAGGACUUCCAAGUCUUCUCGAUCCUUCUUGCCUCUCAUAAGUUUGCUUACUAGUUCACUGAGAAUAUUAAAUUAAAUAAGCAAUUAAAUAAGUUUGAUGAGAUGUUGCAAAAUCACCCAUCACAUCAUCAACCAUCCCAUCUACAUCUAUUCCCAUGUACACUGCUCACCAAGGUAGCAUGGGUGAACUGUUCAUUGCUCAUUGUUCAUCGAAUACUAAACUUUAGAUAUUCUUGCCUUCUCAACAAUAAUUCUGCAAGCAAUUCUCCCUCACUCUCCCCCAUAUCAUUUCUGCCAACUUACAAAAAUGGUGUUUCUCAAAUCUUCAAAAAAUCCCCUCUUGACCUUAUUCCCAACUCUAACCCCUGCAACUGUCUCAUUUUCUCCUUCAUUUCAUAACAAAUCUAUUUGAAAUAAUGGUCUUACCCACCAUCUACAGUGCUCAACCUCCAAUUCUCUGUCAAACCCAUUUCAAUAAGGCUUCUCUCUAACGUUAAUGACAUUGCUAUUGACAUAUGCUGAUGAUGUCUACAUUAUAAAAUCCAGUGGUCAUGACUUUGGCCUCAUCUUACUUGACCUGCCAUCAUCAUUGGACACAUUUUUCUUUCAGGAAUUAAUGCCCUUCAGAGACUUCUCUCCUUCUUCUUAAGUUUCUCCUACCACUUUUCUUUGUUGGUUCCUCUGAAAGUGCCAGAACUUUAAGAACUGGAACCCCUAGGGCUCGGUCCUUACAUUUCUUUUAUCCUUCAUCUACCACUCUCAUUCCCUAGGUGAUCUCAUCCAAUGCCAUAGCUUUAAAUAACAAGUAAGCAACUGAUGGCUCUCAUCGGAAUCCCCACUCUCUGAACUAUAGUUUCCUACAUCCAAGUUUAUAAUGGAGCUUAUAUAUAUGGCAUCUCAAAAAUCAGAUGUUAAAAAUGCCUAAUAUUUGUUUUUCAGAAAUCCACUCCUUCCAGGAAUAAAUGGAAUGGAAAAUACCUCCAUCUAAGGUUCAGGCAAAAACCUUGAUGUCGGGCUGGGGAUGUGGCUCAAGCGGUAGUGUGCUUGCCUGGCAUGUGUGCGGCCUGGGUUCGAUCCUCAGCACCACAUACAAACAAAGAUGUUGUAUCCACUGAAAACUAAAAAAAUAAAUAAAUAUUAAAAUUCUCUCUCUCUCUCUCUUUAAAAACAACAACAACAAAAAAAAAAAAAAACUUGAUGUCAUCCUUGGUUCCCACUUCCCUCCCUCUUCUCUCUCUCUCUCCCUAUAAUCAGUCCAGCAACACUUGCCAUGACCUCCCAAUUAAACUAUAUGCAGGAUCAUAACCCCUCUUAUCAUCUCUACCACAUCUAUCCUGAUUCAAGCCAUGGGCAUUUCGGGUCUAUUAUAACACUCUUCUCAUUUGUCUCCUUGUCUAUUUGUUUAUUCUACUUUCCAGAUUGCAGCCAGGGUGACUCUUUUAAAAUGUCAAUCAGAUCAGGCCACUCAACUGAUUUUCUACCUCAUCCAAAGUCAAAGUCAAAGUCCUUUCAAUGACCUGCACAUCUCAUAUGAUCUGCAUUUCCACUUCCUCUCUAAGUGAAUGUACCUGAGUGAGGAGGUGGGAUGAGAGUGAUGCUGGACAACAUUUCCUGCCAAGUAUGGACUUCAGACUUUAUCUGAGUACCACUGAUAGUCAUAAAAAAACUAAGAAUUUUGGUAAUUUUAAGAAUUUUAGUAAUUUUGUAAAUUCUAUUUCUAGGCUGCAACCCACCUGUUACCCUCUAUAAAAAAAAACUCUAUUUUUCUANAUCUCACCUUACCUCACCUAACAUGAUUUUAAGCUUCUCAUGGGUAGGUCUUCAUCUCCUUUAUUUCUAAUAUUCCCAACAUAUAGUACAGAAUUUAUUAGAACAUAGUAAGCCUCAGUGAUCAUUGAAUGAAUGAAUAUCUUGAGUGGGAGAAGAAAUAUCUUUCUCUUAGAUGAUAGUUUUGAAGGUGGUGGUUAUUAGAGGCUCAGUGAGAAUCUGAAGGCGUGUAUAGUCUAAGUUUUAUCUUAGGUCAAAGCCAUUUCUCAUGAGAAAUGAAGCCAAGGAAAGAAGUUUUGAAGAGCUGCUGUGAGGAGUAGAGAUGGGAGAUAAAAAGAAUUAGUUGUGACUAUUCAGGCAUCUUAAAGGUCCAGCUGACAUUGGCAAUAGAGUGGCAGGGACCCCCGAUGACUGUGUGUUUCCCUCUAGCAGCGGUUCAGUGGGCUGAACCUGACAUACCCAAGGUUCAAGGUCCACAAGGCAGAUUCAGCAUAGGACAGAGAUACUGUGGUGUCUAGACUGGAAUGGGAAGGAAAAUGGAACCAUGAGGAAUAAAUGGUCUGAAAACAACAGAAAUGAUGGAGUCAGGGACCACCACUCUUCAUCAAGCUCAAGAAGAGAAGUUAUGGGAUAAGGUAGGAGAGCACCUGGCUGGUGGAGGCUCUUUUGAGAGACUAGGAUAUUAGGUUUGAAAUUACAGAGUAGGACCUCUUCUUCUGGAUGAUUAUAGAUCCAGAGUACAACCUUGGAAGCAGGUUGCUAGAAGGACCUGGAAGUUAAGGUUGUGGGAAUUUAAAAGUUCUCUAGAACUCUGAAUCUACAUUGUUAGAACCGUGUACCAGGAUUCUAAAGUUGCCCACAUUAGAAGAAGAGUAGGAACAGGGUUCCAUCAAAUUCAAAGAAUAAUGGCUGGUGUCCAGGGGAUGAAUACUUGGAGUGAGGACAACAUGGCCCUUAAGAAACAUCCUUAAGAAACUUUAAACUUAAGGAGAGCUAAGACAAACAGAUAUAAACCAGGAACUAACAACCAAAACCUGUGUUAAAGCUAUACUACUUCCUGUCAACAUCAAGGAUCUGCCAUUACAUUGCUUUGGAAUUGUUAAUAUUACCAAUGUGAUAGAAAGUUCCUUUCAGUACUGGGAUGUUGAAGAAGAUUGGCCUCUUCUUGAUACAGACGUUUCCCAGAUCUCUGCAUUAGAACACCUGUUAGUCAGAUCAGCAGGCUCCCCAGCCUCUACUUGCUGCAAAAUUGCUGGUACUUUUAUCUGUCCAUGACACCACCUGUCUCAAAAAGUAGGUCAUGUCAGGCUCUUAGUUCAGAGACAAUGAGAGGCCCUUGAACAGGCUGUAACUGAAAGAACAUGUGAUAAAAUCUUGUACAGAGACUUUAAAGAGUAGAAAGGCCCAACAAGAUUACAGGUAUAAUCUUUCUUUUUAUCUUUAACCCAUCCUCUUCUUCCUUUGAUAUACUGCUCUGGUAAAAUCCCUGAAUUCAACUCAUUUCUAUUUUCUUACCAUAGAGUAUUAUAAUAUCUUACAUUUACCUUGCAUAGUACAUUUUUGUUUACAAAAUUAUUCCAGGUGUUUGAACUUUUUAAUUUUUAAAUCUUCAAAGCAAACUCCAUAGAAGUGAGCUUUUUUUUUUUUUUACUUAAUUUACACAGGUCUCACUUCAGGUUCAGGUCCCAUUUCACUCCACCUCUAGAGUGGAAUAAGCAGUUAUAUUACCCAUCCUGGGGGACAGGAGCUCCCCUCCUUGUAGAACAGCUGCACCUAAAUGUCACUACCUUUUCUUUCUUAGACCCUACCAUUCCCCACCAGCCAACUCUUACUGUCAAUUCUCUCCAUGGAAUUCAAUUCAAUUCAGUAGGCAAUUCAUGAAUGCCAACCAUGGCCAAGCACCAUGCUAGAAAUGGAGAUUAUCAAAUAGACACCCUCAAGAACUGGCCAGACUAGCUGGGAAGACAGGGAAGUAAAUUAUCUUAAAAUGACAACUAUUAUAAUAGAGGGAUGCACAUGGUACCUCAGUAACUCCAAGAAAGGGAUAAUUAACUCAGCCUGAUAGGCUUAUGUAGCAGUUGGGACCUGGAGUUGAAAGAUGAGUAAACAAGGUGGCCAGGGCAGUUGACACACAAGGAACAGUGUGCAAAGGUAAAGGAGUAGGAAAGGGUAAGAACUUCACUUGACUCAUCUCUUAUCUGUAUCUGCGCUGACACCCAAUGUGAGAGAGGAAAAAAAAAGACACAUUACAGUUACUUCAAGAUCUUAAGUGAGGUCACUGGGCCACAUUCGCUUAUGCCCAUAGAUUACUACUUCACACCUUCUUUCUCUGAGGACUUCCAAGUCUUCUCGAUCCUUCUUGCCUCUCAUAAGUUUGCUUACUAGUUCACUGAGAAUAUUAAAUUAAAUAAGCAAUUAAAUAAGUUUGAUGAGAUGUUGCAAAAUCACCCAUCACAUCAUCAACCAUCCCAUCUACAUCUAUUCCCAUGUACACUGCUCACCAAGGUAGCAUGGGUGAACUGUUCAUUGCUCAUUGUUCAUCGAAUACUAAACUUUAGAUAUUCUUGCCUUCUCAACAAUAAUUCUGCAAGCAAUUCUCCCUCACUCUCCCCCAUAUCAUUUCUGCCAACUUACAAAAAUGGUGUUUCUCAAAUCUUCAAAAAAUCCCCUCUUGACCUUAUUCCCAACUCUAACCCCUGCAACUGUCUCAUUUUCUCCUUCAUUUCAUAACAAAUCUAUUUGAAAUAAUGGUCUUACCCACCAUCUACAGUGCUCAACCUCCAAUUCUCUGUCAAACCCAUUUCAAUAAGGCUUCUCUCUAACGUUAAUGACAUUGCUAUUGACAUAUGCUGAUGAUGUCUACAUUAUAAAAUCCAGUGGUCAUGACUUUGGCCUCAUCUUACUUGACCUGCCAUCAUCAUUGGACACAUUUUUCUUUCAGGAAUUAAUGCCCUUCAGAGACUUCUCUCCUUCUUCUUAAGUUUCUCCUACCACUUUUCUUUGUUGGUUCCUCUGAAAGUGCCAGAACUUUAAGAACUGGAACCCCUAGGGCUCGGUCCUUACAUUUCUUUUAUCCUUCAUCUACCACUCUCAUUCCCUAGGUGAUCUCAUCCAAUGCCAUAGCUUUAAAUAACAAGUAAGCAACUGAUGGCUCUCAUCGGAAUCCCCACUCUCUGAACUAUAGUUUCCUACAUCCAAGUUUAUAAUGGAGCUUAUAUAUAUGGCAUCUCAAAAAUCAGAUGUUAAAAAUGCCUAAUAUUUGUUUUUCAGAAAUCCACUCCUUCCAGGAAUAAAUGGAAUGGAAAAUACCUCCAUCUAAGGUUCAGGCAAAAACCUUGAUGUCGGGCUGGGGAUGUGGCUCAAGCGGUAGUGUGCUUGCCUGGCAUGUGUGCGGCCUGGGUUCGAUCCUCAGCACCACAUACAAACAAAGAUGUUGUAUCCACUGAAAACUAAAAAAAUAAAUAAAUAUUAAAAUUCUCUCUCUCUCUCUCUUUAAAAACAACAACAACAAAAAAAAAAAAAAACUUGAUGUCAUCCUUGGUUCCCACUUCCCUCCCUCUUCUCUCUCUCUCUCCCUAUAAUCAGUCCAGCAACACUUGCCAUGACCUCCCAAUUAAACUAUAUGCAGGAUCAUAACCCCUCUUAUCAUCUCUACCACAUCUAUCCUGAUUCAAGCCAUGGGCAUUUCGGGUCUAUUAUAACACUCUUCUCAUUUGUCUCCUUGUCUAUUUGUUUAUUCUACUUUCCAGAUUGCAGCCAGGGUGACUCUUUUAAAAUGUCAAUCAGAUCAGGCCACUCAACUGAUUUUCUACCUCAUCCAAAGUCAAAGUCAAAGUCCUUUCAAUGACCUGCACAUCUCAUAUGAUCUGCAUUUCCACUUCCUCUCUAAGUGAAUGUACCUGAGUGAGGAGGUGGGAUGAGAGUGAUGCUGGACAACAUUUCCUGCCAAGUAUGGACUUCAGACUUUAUCUGAGUACCACUGAUAGUCAUAAAAAAACUAAGAAUUUUGGUAAUUUUAAGAAUUUUAGUAAUUUUGUAAAUUCUAUUUCUAGGCUGCAACCCACCUGUUACCCUCUAUAAAAAAAAACUCUAUUUUUCUAUAAAUCUUCCAUUUGUACCCAGAAAUUCAGCCAUGGGAAAUUCCUUGCUGUUCUUGGUGUACCACAUUUUCAAAAUUCCAUGCCUUUUCCAUUUUUCCCUCUGGCCAGAACACCCUUCCAUACUUCGUCUGAAACAUGACUACUUACUGGGUUUUCUAGACUCAACUCAAGUACCGUCUUGUUUGUGGAAACUUCCUUAACCACCCAUACUGAGUUGCAUGUUUUCUUCUUCAGUCUUCCAAAGCACAUUUCACCCACUUCUAGUGCAGAUUUUAUCACAUUACUAUAGUUGUUUGUUACAUAUUGGCAAGUUCCUGGCGGACAAGGUCCAGGGUCAAUUUUUGUUGGUCCCCUGCAAUUUGCUCACAUAGUAUCUUCAACUCAGUAGAUGCUCUAUGUGCUUUUUGAAUGAAAAGGAGCCACUGAAAUGGAAUAAAAAAUAGUAAUGAAAAUGCAUAAGAGAAGCCAGAAAAGGGAGGUGUCAUCAAAACCAACAAGCAAAAUAUCACAUGGUACCCCACAAAUUCAUAUAAGUUUUAUAUUUUUAUGAUCAAUUUUUAAAUUAAAUUUUUUAAAAGAGGAGUGAUUUUUCGAGAAAUAGGGGAUGAUCAAUAAUUCAUAGAUUUAAAUAAACUGACAGGUAUUGUCACUGGAGGAGUCUUUGGCAUAUAUGACAGAAAAGAAUUUUAGUACAUGUCAGUCACAGACAGAUUUAUUUAGGAAAGCAGAUACACAUUCAAGGGAGAAUGUGGGCCAUUCCCCAGAAAGAGAGAGACAGCAACCUCUGGGAAUGAGAUGUUAAUAUUUGUAGAGGGACAGUAGAUAGGGGAUGAACUAGAGGUAGAGUUACUUGAUUUCAUGCCAGUUUUUCUAGCACUUGCCCAUUACUUUUGAGUCAUGUUAUUUUUUGAAGGUGAGGACAUGGACCAUGAACAAGUGCCAAGGACAUGGGCUAAGAACAUCAUGGACUGGUUGCCCACAGAAUGCUUGUUUUGCAAUUCAAAGGUGCAUAGUCAUUUACUGAAUUCCAACAGUUCACGAGUACUUCUCUCUGGAGAAUCAGUGUCUUUCUUUUGCUGUAUCCCCAAAUGCCUACCUCAGUCUCAUUGUAUUUAGCAGAUAGGAGGGAUUUAGAGAUGCAGUAGUCCAGAUUCAGUAGCAUACAACAGAAAUCAGUUUCUAUUUAAGCAGAAAGUGAUUUAACAUGUGCUCAUAACAUCUUUAGAAGGACUAGAUAAAUGGAUUUUAGGCUGUGCUUCCUGGAAUCCCAGAACACCACUGUGGAACUAUCCUGCUAGAACAACCCCACCCCAACCACAAGAGAGAGCUGGAAACAAGACGGUGGAACCAGAAACACCUUCUAGAGUGGCACCAGCCCAAAUAGGUGCCUUGCACAUGGCCACCUGAUAAAAUAACUGGCCCCUAAAAACACUCAUUCUCUAUUGGUAUGUAACAAUUAACCUCAAACUUAGUGGGUUAAAAUAACAUCCAUUGAAUAAAUUAAUUCAAUUCUGUAGGUCAAAAGUCCAGGAGCACUCAGCUGGAUUCUGUGCUUAUGGCCUCACCAGACACAAGUCCAGGUGUUAAUAGGCUGAGUUGUAAGCUGGAAAUUCAGGUUUGGUAGAAUUUGUAGUCAUUUCCCUGGCAGUGAGCUGGGGGUUGCUCUCAACUUUUAGAGGCCACUCACCAUUCCCUCCAUGAACCUUCUCAUAGGCCCUCACAGCAUAGCAACUGGCAGCAAGAUCUCUUGUGGAAUCCACAUGCACCCAACACAAAUAUUUCUUACUUCCUUUAUUCCCUUCAGCCAGAGAAAAAUCCCUGCUUUUACAUGGGCUCAAGUGACAAGAUAGAUGGGGCCCACCCAACUCAUCGUUCUAGUUUAUAAUCAACUGUGCCACAUAACAACAUGAUCACAGGAAUGGUAUCUGUUCAGCAUGCUCCAGGAUUAGAAUCUGGAAGCUUGGAGGCUAUUUUUAGAAUUCUGCUUACCACACUGUGUUUGCCAGAAAAAGCAAUAUAACCAAUAGACUGAUGUCAGGAUUCUCCAGAGAAACUGAACCAAUAAGCUGUAGAUCUAUAUGGAAAGAGAGUUUUAAAAGGAAUUGGCUCCCAUGAUUAUGGAGGCUAACAAGUCCCAAGGUGUGCAUUUGAGUCAGCAAGCUGGACACCCAGGAGAGCCAGAGGCAUAGCUCCAGUCUGAAGCCCAGCAGUCUCAGAGACCAGAAAUUGCCAGUGUUUCAGUUAGGUUCCAAAGGCAGACAAAACUCAGAGUCCCCAUUUGAAGGUUAGACAGGAGCAACUUUCUCCUCAUUGGGAAAGGAUCAGUCUUUCUGUUCUAAUAAGACUUUUAACUAGCUAGAUGAGGUCUGUAGGUGAUCUGUUUCACUGUCCACCAAUUAAAAUAUUAACACCAUCCGAAAAACACUCUCACCAGACACCCAGGGUAAUAUCUGACCAAAUUCUUAGACACAUAAAAUUAACCAUCACACCUUCUAAAUCUCAUGCAAGUACAUCCUAUAGGCCAAACAUUAAGUCCCAUCCAGAGCCUCAGUAACAAGGGUGUCAGGUAGUUCAGAAAAGUGUAUUAGAACGUCUUUCAAAUAUUUGACUUCACUUAACUAUAAGAAACUUAUUUCAUCAUGUAAGCACACAUAUACAACAUAAAUACACGAAACAAAAUUUUCAUGGCACAUUACUUACCCUUACUAAGUGGAAUAAACUAUGAUAUUUUCUUUAUGUUUCUUUGAAAACAAAUUCCAAUUUUAUUGAGAUAUAAUGACCAAUAGGAACUGUGUAUAUUUACUAUGUACAUCUUGAUGGGUUCAUAUUUACAUGUAUUGUGUGAUGGAUUCUAUUCAAUUUUCAACCAUGCUGAUCUAGAUCCACUAAAUGAUUUCAUGAUCUUUCAAACAACAAGGUGGACUGAUAUUGAGGGUCAAUCUAGUAUAUAUUCAUUACAAGCAAGUUUUGAGAAGCAAAUUUUCUUCAGCAAAUUUUCUAUCUUGCAAUGUCUAGAAAAUAACCUAUUCAGUUGAAUUGCAUAUACACAAUGAACUUUCAAUUCAGUCUGGAAACAGACUGAGAAAAAUAUGAAUGUUUUUACAGGGUAGGUCCCUAACUAUCCAAUAAAAUAAAAAAUGGCCUUCAAGGAAUACCCUUUUGUGACCUCCUUUCCCUGAUCCAUUCAAGACAAGCUUGCAAAUCCACUAGACUGCAGGGAAAACAUUUAUGACGGGGGAGAUGAUUUACCAAGGGGUGUUCAUGUUCAAAGUGCACACAUGAUUAAAUAUCAUAAACAGGUGUCGAAGCACGUAAAAAUUGUCAGCUUGGAGCCACUUACAAUAAGAGUUUAAUGACCGACUUAGAAUACCAGUCAAUGCUUAUAGCACAAUUUUGAGACUGUUGUUACUAAGACAACCCAGCCCUUUCAACCACUGCCCAGGUUUCCUAUUUCUAUUACUCUCCUCUGCACACACACACCCUCACUCUCCCUCCACAGAUGGUGAGCUGAGUCUCUGCAGAAAGAAAGGUGCUAGUGAAGUCAUUGGUUUUCUACCAAUCUGUGUUACAAAACUGCUCUCAGGUGAAAUGCCUUGUUUCAAUGCGUGGCUGGGGUUAUUUGAAUAAACAGGGGACAUAUUCAUGAGUGCGACAUUUUCAUUUAACUGCACUCAAGUUCUGGGCAACACGCAAGAUCAGUCCCGAGCUCAACUUGAAUUAACCAUUUAUCUCUCUGCUGCUACAUCCCGGCAGAGCCUCACAUGCUCAGUGUUCAUUCAAUAUGAGAAAAAAAUGGAGCGUUUUCCUUCCCUAAACAAGAAUCAUAUCAUGGAGUCUUCCUCAUUCAGUUACAUAAGAGUGCAAAUGAGGGGGAACCAGGGUGGUAUUGUAUGAUGCAAGAAGUGAAGCCUUGGGGUAACUUGUGGUUAUUGUAAUAAAAUCUGCGAAUUGUUGAAGGAUUAGAAAAUCUUGAAAUCAGUGAAAUUGUGAGGGUUGGGCAUUCAUUAGGAGGACAGUCAAUGAUCUGGAUAUCUGCUCCACACUCAUUUAUUCAUUUAAUAAUGAUUUAAUGAGUACCUGCUAUAGGGUAUUUAUAGUUCUAUAAAUGCAGAAGUGAUCCAAACAGACCAAGACCUACUUAUUAAUUAGAAAGAGGAAGCAGAGCAAAACCAGUAAACAGGUCAUCAGGGAAUGGACAAGAUAAAGGGCACAUUGGGACUCAGCACAUUGGGACCCACUGCCAGACCUGAGUUGCCUAAAGCAAACAAACUAGAACCCACAUUUUAUCUGUGGAUCACAGUUACAAGAACUAUGACACAUCCCUCCAGCUGCCACACAUCAUAACUGCCAGAGGACUUCCCCUUUCUCCCAUUUACAUUUAUUUUUAAAGAAAAAGUAGAAUUUAUUGAAAGGAUAGUGGAGAUUUACAGAAUCAGUGGAGGGUGGGGGGGCAAUAUUGAAAAAUGAUCCAACAGCCUAGCAGUCCUGAGGGUUGAGAGGCAGAACAUCUAAUAGUAUAUAGCUUUGGUUUUUAAAAAUAGCUUUGUCAAAGUAUAAUUGACAUACAAUGAUCUGCACAUAUUUAAAGGAUGCAAUUUGAUGAAUUCUGACAUGUAUGUACCCAUGUAAACACCACCAUAUCAAAGUAGAGAACAAAUCUGUCACCUCUAGAAACUUCCUUUUGCCCCUUUGCUGUCCCUCUAUCCCACAAACUCCUCAGAAUCUGUUCCUAAGCAAUUACUGGUCUGUUUUCUGUCACUAUAGAGGAUCUUACAUCUUCUAGAAUAUCAUAUAAAUUAAGUCAUGAAGACAUAUUCUCUAUUUAUUCAUGUUACAUGUAUCAAGAGCUCAUAAGUUUUUUGUUUAUCCAUUAGUAUUUCAAUGGACAUGGUGGUUGUUUCCACCUUUGGCCAAUUAGAAAGCUUCCAUAAAUAUUUCGGUAAAAUUCUUUGUAAGUAUAUAAGACUUGAUCUCUUUUGUGAAAAUAUCUGGAAGUAGAUUGGGUCAUACCAUGGGUAGUUACUUAACUUUUUAAAAAAUUCUCAAACUAUUUUUCAAAGCAGUUGUUCCCUUUUUACUUUCCAUCAGCAGUGUAUGAGAGCUCCAGUCACACAUCUUUGCUUUCGUCUUUCUUCUCCUCCUCCUCCUUCUUCUCUUCCUCCUCCUCUUUCUCCUUCCUCUUCUUUUUGACAUUAGGGAUUGAACUCAGGGGUUAGCACUGAGCUACAUCUCCAGCCCCUUUUUUAUUUUUUUUGAGACAGGUCCUUGAUACAUUGUUGAGGUUGGCCUCAAACUUGAGAUCCUUCUGCCUCAGCUUCCCAAGUUGUUGGAAUUACAGAUGUCUGCCACCAUGCCCAGCAGGCCAGUCUUUUAAUACCAGGCAUUCAAACGAGUGUUUAGUAUUGUCUUGUUAAAAGUUUUUAUUUGCAUCUCCCCUACCUAAUACCUUAUGAUGUUGAACAGUUAUGAAGUCCCAAUUUUUUUUUCUUUUAAUGGUUCAUGCUUUUGGUGUGGUAGCUAAGAAAUCUUUGCCUAAUCCAAGGUCACAAAGCUGAUCUCUUAAAGUAUUUUUUUAGUUGUUGAUGGACCUUUAUUUAUUUGUAUGUGGUGCUGAGAAUUGAACCCAGUGCAUCACACAUGCUAGGCAAGCACACUACCACUGAGCCAUGACCCCAGCCCCUCUUAAAGUAUUUUAAAGAGGUUGUUCCAGUGUAUUCUGGAUUGUUUCAGUUCUGAUGAGAAAUCUACUUUCAUUUGUGUAUUUUGCCUCUGACUGCUUUUAAAAUCUUCUCAUUAUCUUUGCAUUUAAGCAAUAUGAUUCAGUGUGCCCUGAUACAGUCUUUCUCAUAUUUUUCUGUGCUUGGGAAAUUCUAUGAAUUUAUAGUUUUCAUCAACUUUAAAAAUUAUUGCCCAUCAUUUAUUCAAUUAUCUUUCCUGAAUGUUCCAUGCCUUUGGGGAUCCAAUUACAUGGAUAUUUGGUAUUUGAAAUCUUCUUAUCUCUGUGUGUUUCAUUUUAGAUGCUUUCCAUUGCUAUGUUUUCAAGUUUGCUGAUCUUUUCUUUUGAAAUAUCUAGUCUCCGUUAAUCCCAUUCAGUACUUUUAUACUGAAUUUUUCCUUUUAGUCAUUAUAGUUUUCACCUCUGGAAGUUUAACAUGGGUCUAUUCUUUUCAUGUCUUUAUUGAACAUGCUCCUUCUGUACUCUAACAUAACAUCUUGAAUAUGUACAGUUAUAAUAACCAUUUUAAUGUUCUUAUCCACUAAUUCUAUCAUCUGCAUAAUUUCUGGGUCAGUUUCACUUGAUUAAAUUCCCCCCAAUUAUGUCUUAUUUUCCUGCUUCUCUGUGUGCCUGGUAAUUUUCCACUUGGUAUUAAAUAUGAAUUUGAAUCCGUUAUAGGGUCCUGGAUAUUUCUGAAUUCCUGCUUUUGCAUCCUCAAUCUUUGUUCAAGGACACAGUUGAGUUAAUUGGAAAUAGUUUGCCUUUCAUGUCCCACUCCUAAGCUUCUCUCAGGCAGAAACAGAACAGCAUUUAGUGGAGAAUUUGUCCCCACUGAGGCAAGACUCUCCUUGUGUUUUACCAAAUGGCAUGUGAGUUAUGAAGUCUCCCACACGGGCUGUUGAGAACUGGCUCUGACUUACCCUAGGUGUUGUUACUUCUUUGGGGGGUGUUAAUGUUUAUUUCCGAUCUCCAUUUCUUUCUACACAUGAGAUGUGAAAUCUGGCAGCCUCCUGAACUGCUGACUCCAUCUCCACAGUUCACAGAAAUGUCUGGGGCCUGCCUGAUAUCCUAUUUUCUGUACCAUGGCCUGGAAACUUUAUUCAGUCAGUAAGUAAGAACAGUUAGAGGGACUGCUUUAUUUAUCUCCCACAUCUAGAAGAUCAUUGUCUCCACUGAUUGAUGUCUGACAUCUUGAGAACAAUUGUUUGAUAUACUUUGUCCACCUUUUUAGUUAUUUCCAGCAAGAAUGUAAAUCUGGUCUCUAUUAUUAUAUUUUUGUUAAAAGUGGAAAUGUUAACUCUGAAUUACAGUUUAAUGUUGAAUGUUACUUUUUUCUGGUUUUAUUUUCUGGUAUUUUUUUUCCUUCUUAGAUGGUAAAUUUUAUGUAGACAUAUGGGGAAUGAAAAUUGCUAGACAUGGGGAGAAAUUGAAGGGAAUGAGCUGAUAGAUGGUAAAAAAAAAAAUGGAAUGGUUAAAAAAAGGAAAAAGAAUUAGAGAUGAAAUGAGAAUAAGUAGUCAGGUCCUGGGAAAAUGAGUUGGUGAAGAUUAUCAAAGUCAUUUGAAAUUCUACCACUCUUAUUUUUUUUUUAAUUUUUUGUUGUGGUGCUGCAGAUUAAACCCAGGACCUUGCACAUGCUAGGCAAGUGCUCUACCACUGAGCUACACCCCCAGUCCUUUUUAUUUUGAGAAAGGAUCUUACCAAGUUGCCCAGGCUGGCCUGAACUCUGAUCAUCCUGCCUCAGCCUCCCAACUAGCUGGAUUCCAUAUGUCUGCCAAUACUUCUGGCCCACCUCUCACUUUUAAGAGGCCUCAAGGGUGGCUAUAGAAGGAUUAGAACCAUUCAUUCUCUUCAACUAGGUAACUUAAAUCUGUCAGGGAGAUUUACUGUUCUUUACUGGUCCUCGCAGCAAACCAACAAAGACAAAAUUUGGAAAUUUGUCUUUCUUUCUAAGAGAGACAAACACCAAAAUAUGUGAUAAACCUCAAAGACUCCCAGAGAACAGUUUGGGUGAGAACUAGAUAGCUCAGACAAAAGGUAGACAGAGGACCAGCUUAUUGCCCUGAUACUCAUUGCUUAGAUACCUGCCCCUAGGAAGAUUAUAUAGCACAUCUUAACUGUUAAAAUUAGAAUAAUAAUAGCUAUCCUUUAUUGAGCACUUGUUCUAUACUGUCAGGUACUGCACUAAUGCCUUUGAACACACUGUCAUUUAAUCCUCAUAACCCUUUAUUAUUACCUCUAUUUUAUAGAUGUGGCAACUGCAAUUCAGAAAGGUUAAGUAACUUGUGUAAGGUCACACACAACUCAAGUGACAAGACUGGGAUGAGCACCAACUCUAUUGCUAUGCCAAGGUGUAUAGAAGUUCUCUCAUGUGCAUUUAAGGAUUCUGUGAGCUGAGUGCCAAGUAGCAUGUGGCAUAGUUUCACGCUAAGUUCCUCUUCCCUUCUCCACUAAAUUCCCACAUUAACUGAAACAUCACUGCCAAUACAACACAACUUCCCUUCCUGAUCCCUUUCAAUAACCUGCCUGUCUCUUGUUUCUUUGACAGUGAGGGGCCCUUCAUCUAGAAUUCUAUUAAUUCUACUGACACAGGUGCACUAUGCCUCUACCACGUUGAAUCACUCUGAACAACUCCUGUGAGGCUCAGGAGCUGAUUGUCCCUGUCUGUGCCUCCCUCUGCCCAUGCUCAUUCCUGGCAUCUCCCUGCACCUAAGCCACUCACCUCUCUACUCAUUAAAAUGCUGGCAUCUGCCUCUCGGGCAUUCACAGUCCAGAUUCUUGUCAUCAUUUAGAUAAUUUCAACUCCUUUGCUCAUGAUCUAACAUUCAAGUCCUGCGAUUCCUAGACUUCCUUUGUCUUUGGCCCACUUUAGAAACCUACCUCAGACUUCUAGUGGCCAAAAUGGAGCAAGCCCACUGUAGGCCAUGUGUCCCCCAGAUGACAACUAGAAACUGGUCAAAAUGCAAAAGCCAGCUAUCCAAGGACAAUGGUAAACAGAUAAAGGAAGGAAAACAAAACUUGAAGAACUCUGCUUGUAUGCUGAAAAGUUUAUGUUUUUUUCUUUUUUUAUCUGCUAGGGAUGAUCCGAGGUGACCCCCGUAUGGAACCCUGAAGGGACAUGGGCAACAGAAAUGGAGAGAAACUCUUUCUCCCUGGCAGGAAGACUGGCAAAAAGGGGCCUCUGUCUGCCAGAAAAAGCGGGAGGAGUCCACAAUUGUUUUCUUGCUGAUUUUCUCUUGUCUUCUUUGUCCUGCCCCAAGAGAAGUCUCAGUUACAGAGUGAUACUGUAGGACAGGCACCUGAAACUCAAAGAGAAAGAACUAAGAAAAGAGGCUCUAACCUAUGGCCCAGAAGGGGUGAAGGGAAUCCCCAUUAUUUUUCCUGCUAUUUUCUAGCUGCUUUGACCUGAAGAAAGUGUCCAGCAGAAAUGUGUAACAGCAGAGCAGCCAAAGCUCCAAAAGAAAGAAAUCCUGGUUGGCUCAGCAAAGGACCGAGAACACUGGCCUUCUGAAUGUGGAGAGUCAGGAAGAAAGCUCAAAGUGAGAGAAGCAGAGAAGGGAAUUCCCCAAUUCUGCAUCUAAACUCACACCAAUCCCAGCCUCUUCCUGGGUCACAGAACAGGAACCCAAAGCAGAACAGAAAAGGCCUAUGUGUCAGAAAGGAAAAACAGAACCAUCUCUACUAACAGAUGACACAAUUCUCUACAUUUAAAAAAAUCCUAAAACUAUAUAAAAAAACAUUCCUAGAACUAAUAAGUUUAAUAAAGUCACAGGGUAUAAGAUCAAGUUAUUUCUACAUAGUAGCAAUGAACACUUAGAACACAAAAUGUUGAAGAAAAAAAAAACAGUCCCAUUUAAAAUAACACUGAAAACUGGAAAACUUAGAUGUAAAUCAAUGAAACAUGUAUAGGGUCUGUAUGCUGAAAACUACAGAGGCUGAUGAAAUAGAUCAUGAAAAACCUAAGUAAAUGGAGAGAGAUACCAUGUUCAUAGAUGGAAGACUCAAAACUGUUAAGGUAUCGGUUCUAAGUGGAUCUAAAGAUUCAACAUAAUUCUAAUCAAGAUGCCAGAGUAAUUUUUCAUAGAUAUCAACAAGUUUAUUCUAAGAUGCAUAUGGAAAAACAAAGGAAAUAGAACAGUCAAAAUAGUUUUGAAGCAGAACAAAGUUGGGGAACUCCUACAACCCAAUUUUAAUACAUACUAUAAUGCUACAGUAAGAAAGGCAAUGUGGUAUUGAGUAAAAGGUAGAUGAAAAGAUCAAUUAGAUAUAACAGAGAAUCCAGAAAUUAGAUACAAGUAUAGCCAAACAUUUUUUUUUCCUGGAAGUACUGGAUAUUGAAUCCAGGGGUGCUAUACCACUGAGCUACAUCCUAAG
rnacentral:lncRNA from 1 species